UACAGAGGGUGCGAGCGUUGUCCGGAAUCACUGGGCGUAAAGGGCGCGUAGGCGGCUUGAUAAGUAGGGGGUGAAAUCUUGUGGCUCAACUGCAAGGCUGCCUCCUAAACUGACAGGCUUGAGCACAGUAGAGGCAGGUGGAAUUCCCGGUGUAGCGGUGGAAUGCGUAGAGAUCGGGGAGGAACACCAGUGGCGAAGGCGACUACCUGGCCCCACUCUUGACGCUGAGGCGGCGAAA
rnacentral:rRNA from 1 species